AUUGAACGCUGGCGGCAUGCCUUACACAUGCAAGUUGAACGGCAGCACGGGAGCAAUCCUGGUGGCGAGUGGCGAACGGGUGAGUAAUAUAUCGGAACGUGCCCGGUCGUGGGGGAUAACGUAGCGAAAGCUACGCUAAUACCGCAUACGAUCUACGGAUGAAAGCGGGGGGAUCGCAAGACCUCGCGCGAUUGGAGCGGCCGAUAUCAGAUUAGGUAGUUGGUGAGGUAAAGGCUCACCAAGCCGACGAUCUGUAGCUGGUCUGAGAGGACGACCAGCCACACUGGGACUGAGACACGGCCCAGACUCCUACGGGAGGCAGCAGUGGGGGAAUUUUUGGACAAUGGGCGCAAGCCUGAUCCAGCAAUGCGCGUGCAGGAUGAA
rnacentral:rRNA from 1 species